rnacentral:lncRNA from 1 species
CUUCCCUACGCGAACGCGUGCGUGUGCGCGAUGCCAUGCCAUGCCCCUGUUUGUGUACUAUGCCUGGGAGAGAGCUGGGAUGGUCGUAUAGCUGGACUGGCACUUGCUGUUUGGGUUGGGGCGGGCGUGGUUGGGGCGUGUGGGCGAUGCAGCGCAACCAAGCAGUGGUCCUGCGUAGUGUUAGGAGUGUUGUGUGCGCAGUUUAGUCAAAUGUGCAUGUGUUCAAGAGUGUCAGAACCGCAACGUUUGAAUCGGCAACAAAGACUGGACAAGUAGGAGCGACGGGAGGAGACCGUGCGUAUGACUCUGCGUGCAUGUGCACGUGUGUAUAUAACGGUUACAUGGUUCGCACAACUUAAGGGAGUGUGUGGUAGCUCCAGGCUUCCAG